rnacentral:rRNA from 1 species
CCUACGGGAGGCAGCAGUGAGGAAUAUUGGUCAAUGGGCGCGAGCCUGAACCAGCCAAGUCGCGUGAGGGAAGACGGUCCUAUGGAUUGUAAACCUCUUUUAUAAGGGAAUAAAGUGUGGGACGUGUCCUGUUUUGUAUGUACCUUAUGAAUAAGGAUCGGCUAACUCCGUGCCAGCAGCCGCGGUAAUACGGAGGAUCCGAGCGUUAUCCGGAUUUAUUGGGUUUAAGGGGUGCGUAGGCGGCCUUUUAAGUCAGCGGUGAAAGUCUGUGGCUCAACCAUAGAAUUGCCGUUGAAACUGGGAGGCUUGAGUAUGUUUGAGGCAGGCGGAAGGCGUGGUGUAGCGGUGAAAUGCUUAGAUAUCACGCAGAACCCCGAUUGCGAAGGCAGCCUGCCAAGCCAUGACUGACGCUGAUGCACGAAAGCGUGGGGAUCAAACAGGAUUAGAUACCCGAGUAGUC